GACGAACGCUGGCGGCGUGCUUAACACAUGCAAGUCGAACGGAAAGGCCCUGCUUUUGUGGGGUGCUCGAGUGGCGAACGGGUGAGUAACACGUGAGUAACCUGCCCUUGACUUUGGGAUAACUUCAGGAAACUGGGGCUAAUACCGGAUAGGAGCUCCUGCUGCAUGGUGGGGGUUGGAAAGUUUCGGCGGCUGGGGAUGGACUCGCGGCUUAUCAGCUUGUUGGUGGGGUAGUGGCUUACCAAGGCUUUGACGGGUAGCCGGCCUGAGAGGGUGACCGGCCACAUUGGGACUGAGAUACGGCCCAGACUCCUACGGGAGGCAGCAGUGGGGAAUAUUGCACAAUGGGCGGAAGCCUGAUGCAGCAACGCCGCGUGCGGGAUGACGGCCUUCGGGUUGUAAACCGCUUUCGCCUGUGACGAAGCGUGAGUGACGGUAAUGGGUAAAGAAGCACCGGCUAACUACGUGCCAGCAGCCGCGGUGAUACGUAGGGUGCGAGCGUUGUCCGGAUUUAUUGGGCGUAAAGGGCUCGUAGGUGGUUGAUCGCGUCGGAAGUGUAAUCUUGGGGCUUAACCCUGAGCGUGCUUUCGAUACGGGUUGACUUGAGGAAGGUAGGGGAGAAUGGAAUUCCUGGUGGAGCGGUGGAAUGCGCAGAUAUCAGGAGGAACACCAGUGGCGAAGGCGGUUCUCUGGGCCUUUCCUGACGCUGAGGAGCGAAAGCGUGGGGAGCGAACAGGCUUAGAUACCCUGGUAGUCCACGCUGUAAACGGUGGGUACUAGGUGUGGGGUCCAUUCCACGGGUUCCGUGCCGUAGCUAACGCUUUAAGUACCCCGCCUGGGGAGUACGGCCGCAAGGCUAAAACUCAAAGGAAUUGACGGGGCCCCGCACAAGCGGCGGAGCAUGCGGAUUAAUUCGAUGCAACGCGUAGAACCUUACCUGGGUUUGACAUGGAUCGGGAGUGCUCAGAGAUGGGUGUGCCUCUUUUGGGGUCGGUUCACAGGUGGUGCAUGGCUGUCGUCAGCUCGUGUCGUGAGAUGUUGGGUUAAGUCCCGCAACGAGCGCAACCCUUGUUCACUGUUGCCAGCACGUUAUGGUGGGGACUCAGUGGAGACCGCCGGGGUCAACUCGGAGGAAGGUGGGGAUGACGUCAAGUCAUCAUGCCCCUUAUGUCCAGGGCUUCACGCAUGCUACAAUGGCUGGUACAGAGAGUGGCGAGCCUGUGAGGGUGAGCGAAUCUCGGAAAGCCGGUCUCAGUUCGGAUUGGGGUCUGCAAUUCGACCUCAUGAAGUCGGAGUCGCUAGUAACCGCAGAUCAGCAACGCUGCGGUGAAUACGUUCCCGGG
rnacentral:rRNA from 1 species